GGGUUGUGAGGUUAAGCGACUAAGCGUACACGGUGGAUGCCCUGGCAGUCAGAGGCGAUGAAGGACGUGCUAAUCUGCGAUAAGCGCCGGUAAGGUGAUAUGAACCGUUAUAACCGGCGAUUUCCGAAUGGGGAAACCCAGUGUGAUUCGUCACACUAUCAUUAACUGAAUCCAUAGGUUAAUGAGGCGAACCGGGGGAACUGAAACAUCUAAGUACCCCGAGGAAAAGAAAUCAACCGAGAUUCCCCCAGUAGCGGCGAGCGAACGGGGAGGAGCCCAGAGCCUGAAUCAGCAUGUGUGUUAGUGGAAGCGUCUGGAAAGGCGCGCGAUACAGGGUGACAGCCCCGUACACAAAAGCGCAUGUGCUGUGAGCUCGAUGAGUAGGGCGGGACACGUGGUAUCCUGUCUGAAUAUGGGGGGACCAUCCUCCAAGGCUAAAUACUCCUGACUGACCGAUAGUGAACCAGUACCGUGAGGGAAAGGCGAAAAGAACCCCGGCGAGGGGAGUGAAAAAGAACCUGAAACCGUGUACGUACAAGCAGUGGGAGCACCCUUCGGGGUGUGACUGCGUACCUUUUGUAUAAUGGGUCAGCGACUUAUAUUCUGUAGCAAGGUUAACCGUAUAGGGGAGCCGGAGGGAAACCGAGUCUUAAUUGGGCGUUAAGUUGCAGGGUAUAGACCCGAAACCCGGUGAUCUAGCCAUGGGCAGGUUGAAGGUUGGGUAACACUAACUGGAGGACCGAACCGACUAAUGUUGAAAAAUUAGCGGAUGACCUGUGGCUGGGGGUGAAAGGCCAAUCAAACCGGGAGAUAGCUGGUUCUCCCCGAAAGCUAUUUAGGUAGCGCCUCGUGAAUUCAUCUCCGGGGGUAGAGCACUGUUUCGGCUAGGGGGCCAUCCCGGCUUACCAACCCGAUGCAAACUGCGAAUACCGGAGAAUGUUAUCACGGGAGACACACGGCGGGUGCUAACGUCCGUCGUGAAGAGGGAAACAACCCAGACCGCCAGCUAAGGUCCCAAAGUCAUGGUUAAGUGGGAAACGAUGUGGGAAGGCCCAGACAGCCAGGAUGUUGGCUUAGAAGCAGCCAUCAUUUAAAGAAAGCGUAAUAGCUCACUGGUCGAGUCGGCCUGCGCGGAAGAUGUAACGGGGCUAAACCAUGCACCGAAGCUGCGGCAGCGAACGUAUCACCCAAGACAACUUUACGGAGUUGACGAUUGACGGAGCGAAGCGACGUCAAAGCGUUCAUUAAAGUCGAGUUGGCUUAGGGAUACGUUCGUUGGGUAGGGGAGCGUUCUGUAAGCCUGUGAAGGUGUGUCGUGAGGCAUGCUGGAGGUAUCAGAAGUGCGAAUGCUGACAUAAGUAACGAUAAAGCGGGUGAAAAGCCCGCUCGCCGGAAGACCAAGGGUUCCUGUCCAACGUUAAUCGGGGCAGGGUGAGUCGACCCCUAAGGCGAGGCCGAAAGGCGUAGUCGAUGGGAAACGGGUUAAUAUUCCCGUACUUGGUGUUACUGCGAAGGGGGGACGGAGAAGGCUAUGUUGGCCGGGCGACGGUUGUCCCGGUUUAAGCGUGUAGGUGUGUGUUCCAGGUAAAUCCGGUUCACUUUAACACUGAGGCGUGACGACGAGGCACUACGGUGCUGAAGCAACAAAUGCCCUGCUUCCAGGAAAAGCCUCUAAGCAUCAGGUAACACGAAAUCGUACCCCAAACCGACACAGGUGGUCAGGUAGAGAAUACCAAGGCGCUUGAGAGAACUCGGGUGAAGGAACUAGGCAAAAUGGUGCCGUAACUUCGGGAGAAGGCACGCUGACACGUAGGUGAAGUGAUUUACUCAUGGAGCUGAAGUCAGUCGAAGAUACCAGCUGGCUGCAACUGUUUAUUAAAAACACAGCACUGUGCAAACACGAAAGUGGACGUAUACGGUGUGACGCCUGCCCGGUGCCGGAAGGUUAAUUGAUGGGGUCAGCGUAAGCGAAGCUCCUGAUCGAAGCCCCGGUAAACGGCGGCCGUAACUAUAACGGUCCUAAGGUAGCGAAAUUCCUUGUCGGGUAAGUUCCGACCUGCACGAAUGGCGUAAUGAUGGCCAGGCUGUCUCCACCCGAGACUCAGUGAAAUUGAACUCGCUGUGAAGAUGCAGUGUACCCGCGGCAAGACGGAAAGACCCCGUGAACCUUUACUAUAGCUUGACACUGAACAUUGAGCCUUGAUGUGUAGGAUAGGUGGGAGGCUUUGAAGUGUGGACGCCAGUCUGCAUGGAGCCGACCUUGAAAUACCACCCUUUAAUGUUUGAUUCUAACGUGGACCCGUAGGGUCGGACAGUCUGGUGGGUAUUUGACUCUCCUAAAGGACACGAAGGUAACCUGGUCGCAUCAGGAGGUUAGUGCAAUGGCAUAAAGGACUGCGCGUGACGCGCAGGUGCGAAAGCAGGUCAUAGAUCCGGUGGUUCUGAAUGGAAGGGCCAUCGCUCAAGGACUCAUAAGGCUGAACCCCAAGAGUUUAUCGACGGCGGUGGCACUGGCUCAUCACAUCCCUGAAGUAGGUCCCAUAUGGCUGUUCGCCAUUUAAAGUGGUACGCGAGCUGGGUUUAGAACGUCGUGAGACAGUUCGGUCCCUAUCUGCCGUGGGCGCUGGAGAACUGAGGGGGGCUGCUCCUAGUACGAGAGGACCGGAGUGGACGCAUCACUGGUGUUCGGGUUGUCAUGCCAAUGGCACUGCCCGGUAGCUAAAUGCGGAAGAGAUAAGUGCUGAAAGCAUCUAAGCACGAAACUUGCCCCGAGAUGAGUUCUCCCUGAGACUUAGAGUCUCCUGAAGGAACGUUGAGAACGUUGAAGACGACGACGUUGAUAGGCCGGGUGUGUAAGCGCAGCGAUGCGUUGAGCUAACCGGUACUAAUGAACCGUGAGGCUUAACCUUACAACGCCGAAG
rnacentral:rRNA from 1 species